rnacentral:lncRNA from 1 species
CUCCUUCUGAGCAUUCACUUCAUUCAGGCGAACUUGAAGUCCUUCAGAAUCAGCCUUUAAGGCUUCAUAUUGGCACUGAACUUCAUUCCUUUGACUUACAGCCUCAUCUCUCUCCUGAAGAGCCGCUGUCAUAGAGGACAGCUGCUUCAAAACUUCCACACAACGAACUUCCACCUCAGCUGUCCUCUCAUCAGACUCCUUGAGAACCCUGCGAGUACGAGACAACUCUGCUUCCAGGGAUUUGGUGUGCUCUGCUGCC